AAGCGGCAACAGCUCAAAUUUGAAAGCUGGCUCCUUCGGAGUCCGCAUUGUAAUUUGUAGAGGAUGAUUCGGCGAGGGCUCCCGCCUAAGUCCACUGGAACGUGGCGUCAUAGAGGGUGAGAAUCCCGUAUGCGGUGGGUUGCCUUAGCCAUGUGAAUCUCCUUCGACGAGUCGAGUUGUUUGGGAAUGCAGCUCUAAAUGGGAGGUAAAUUUCUUCUAAAGCUAAAUACCGGCCAGAGACCGAUAGCGCACAAGUAGAGUGAUCGAAAGAUGAAAAGCACUUUGGAAAGAGAGUUAAAAAGUACGUGAAAUUGUUGAAAGGGAAGGGCUUGCAACCAGACUUGUCCGCAGUUGCUCAGCCGGUCUCCUGACCGGCGUACUCUUCUGCGGCCAGGCCAGCAUCAGUUCGGGCGGUCGGAUAAAGACCUAGGGAAUGUAGCUCCUCUCGGGGAGUGUUAUAGCCCUGGGUGGAAUGCGGCCAGCCUGGACUGAGGAUCUCGCUUCGGCUAGGAUGCUGGCGUAAUGGUUGUAAGCCGCCCGUCUUGAAACACGGACCAAGGAGUCUAACAUCUAUGCGAGUGUUUGGGUGUCAAACCCAUACGCGUAAUGAAAGUGAACGGAGGUGGGAACCCGCAAGGGCGCACCAUCGGCCGAUCCUGAUGUCUUCGGAUGGAUUUGAGCAAGAGCAUAGCUGUUGGGACCCGAAAGAUGGUGAACUAUGCCUGAAUAGGGUGAAGCCAGAGGAAACUCUGGUGGAGGCUCGCAGCGGUUCUGACGUGCAAAUCGAUCGUCAAAUUUGGGUAUAGGGGCGAAA
rnacentral:rRNA from 1 species